AGCCUACAACGAGUGGUGGAGCAUGUGGUUUAAUGCGAUAAUCCGCGCAAAACCUUACCUACUCUUGACAUACUUGGAAGCUCUUGUAAUGAGAGUGUGCCUUUUGGAACCAAGAUACAGGUGCUGCAUGGCUGUCGUCAGCUCGUGUCGUGAGAUGUUCCGUUAAGUCGGAUAACGAGCGCAACCCUUACCCUUAUUUGCCAGCGAUUCGGUCGGGAACUAUAAGGGGACUGCCGGUGAUAAACCGGAGGAAGGUGAGGACGACGUCAAGUCAUCAUGGCCCUUACGAGUAGGGCUACACACGUGCUACAAUGGGGAAUACAGACGGACGCUAAGCCGCGAGUGGUGCU
rnacentral:rRNA from 1 species